GUACUCGCUUCGGCGGUACGUAAACUAAAAUUGGAACGAUACAGAGAAGAUUUGAAUGGCCUCUGCGGAAGGAUAACACGCAAAAGCGUGAAGCGUUCCACAUUUAA